CGGCGUGGAUUAGGCAUGCAAGUCGAGCGAGAAAUUUACUUCGGUAAAUGGACAGCGGCGAAAGGGACAGUAAUGUGUAGGUACCUACCCUCUGAUCUGGGAUAGCUGCGGGAAACUGCAGGUAAUACCGGAUAAUGUCUUCGGACCAAAGGUGUGAUUCCGUCUGAGGAGGGGCCUGCAUCCUAUUAGCUUGUUGGUGAGGUAAUAGCUCACCAAGGCAACGAUGGGUAGCGGGUGUGAGAGCAUGACCCGCGUCAUUGGGACUGAGACACUGCCCAGACAUCUACGGAUGGCUGCAGUCGAGAAUCUUCGGCAAUGGGCGAAAGCCUGACCGAGCGACGCCGCGUGCGGGAUGAAGGCCCUCGGGUUGUAAACCGCUGUCGUUGGGGAGGAAAUGCAAGAGGGCUAUCCCUUUUGUUUGACCGAUCCAAGGAGGAAGUACGG
rnacentral:rRNA from 1 species